UACGUAGGGAGCAAGCGUUGUCCGGAAUCAUUGGGCGUAAAGCGCGCGUAGGUGGCCUCAUAAGUCCGCUGUGAAAGUCAAAGGCUCAACCUUUGAAAGCCGGUGGAUACUGUGGGGCUAGAGUACGGAAGAGGCGAGUGGAAUUCCUGGUGUAGCGGUGGAAUGCGCAGAUAUCAGGAGGAACACCAAUAGCGAAGGCAGCUCGCUGGGACGUUACUGACACUGAGGCGCGAAAGCGUGGGGAGCGAACCGG
rnacentral:rRNA from 1 species